rnacentral:rRNA from 1 species
GGAGGGCAAGUCUGGUGCCAGCAGCCGCGGUAAUUCCAGCUCCAAUAGCGUAUAUUAAAGUUGUUGUGGUUAAAAAGCUCGUAGUUGAACCUUGGGCCUGGCUGGCCGGUCCGCCUCACCGCGUGUACUGGUCCGGCCGGGCCUUUCCCUCUGUGGAACCCCAUGCCCUUCACUGGGUGUGGCGGGGAAACAGGACUUUUACUUUGAAAAAAUUAGAGUGUUCAAAGCAGGCCUUUGCUCGAAUACAUUAGCAUGGAAUAAUAGAAUAGGACGUGUGGUUCUAUUUUGUUGGUUUCUAGGACCGCCGUAAUGAUUAAUAGGGAUAGUCGGGGGCGUCAGUAUUCGGCUGUCAGAGGUGAAAUUCUUGGAUUUGCUGAAGACUAACUACUGCGAAAGCAUUCGCCAAGGAUGUUUUCAUUAAUCAGGGAACGAAAGUUAGGGGAUCGAAGACGAUCAGAUACCGUCGUAGUCUUAACCAUAAACUAUGCCGACUAGGGAUCGGACGGGAUUCUAUGAUGACCCGUUCGGCACCUUACGGGAAAC